ACAGCAAGAUAGAACACGAUACAGUUAGUUCAGCGCACGAUAAGUUGUUGUCAGAUUGUUCUAUAUGACGCUGCUGAUGUACGCGCACGUAUACAGCCGUUGCCCAAAAAAGUUCAAAGUUUUCACCUUGUUUUGUCAAGAAACACCUUCAAGAAUCUCCGGCCUCAAGUCGUCACCAAACUUCCCUGUGCCGUAUAUUGAUGAUCAAGUGGGGCGACACGAAAGGGUGGCGGCGCGACAGUAGAAAGAUGACUUGUUAAAUCUGAUGAUCAUCGGACCGGACCGUACCUGCAUCAGAUCGAGGUAUCUGCAGAUCACAACUUCGUCCCUCAUUCGUACCGCAGGCUUGCAUUAUUUGUCUCCUAGUUUGCCUUGCAAUUGGUGAACGUACGUAGUCUUGAUUUCAAGAUGGUCCUUCCGUUUAUUAUAAUGGCAGUCAGCCUCGUUGCGGCGCCGGCAGCCCUCCCAGCGAUCGGUUUCACGGCUGGAGGAAUAGCGGCUGGUUCCAUGGCUACGAGCAUAAUGUCAG